rnacentral:rRNA from 1 species
UGGUACUAAGCCACGCGAGUCGGUGCACAUACAUGGCGGACUGCUCAGUAACACAUAGUUAACUUAACCUAUGGAUGGGAAUAACCUCGGGAAACUGAGAAUAAUACCCAAUAGACCACAGUGCCUGGAAUGGCCUGUGGUUGAAAUGAUUUAUCGCCGUAAGAUAGGACUGCGGCCUAUCAGCUUGUUGGUGAGGUAAUGGCCCACCAAGGCUAUAACAGGUACGGGCUCUGAGAGGAGGGGCCCGGAGAUGGGUACUGAGACACGGACCCAGGCCCUAUGGGGCGCAGCAGGCGAGAAACCUUUGCAAUGUGCGAAAGCACGACAAGGUUAAUCCGAGUGUCUCCUGCUAAAGGAGUCUUUUGUCAGUUGUAGAAUCACUGGUGAAUAAGGGGUGGGCAAGUUCUGGUGUCAGCCGCCGCGGUAAAACCAGCACCUCGAGUGGUCAGGAGGUUUAUUGGGCCUAAAGCAUCCGUAGCCGGUUGCAUAAGUAUUCGGUUAAAUCUAUGCGCUCAACGUAUAGGCCGCCGAAAAUACUGUGCAGCUAGGGCGUGGGCGAGGUUCCCGGUACUCACGUGGAAGGGCGUAAAUCCUUUGAUCUAUUGAUUGACACCUGUGGCGAAG